AGGACUCUCAGAGAAGGGCCAAGAAAAUGACUGGAUUUGAAGGUCCUAUCAGUGGAUAACAAAAACAUCGAGGAUAUGUUAUCCAUGGGCAAGAAUAAGGUUUAGGACCAAAAUUACUCCUUUUGGGACUGGAAGGAAAACUGCCUACUUUUGAGCAGCUCGUAGGAUUUCUAAAUGCCCUGGUGUGUUGAGAGACAGUUCAAGCCUUGUUUUUUGGGGAAAAGUAGCUGCUACAGCUACUGAUCACUUUACCCAUAAGCACAGUCCAGCCAGCUCCCUCUGCG
rnacentral:lncRNA from 1 species